GGUGAGCACGUGUGUGAGGGGUGCACGUGUGUGAGGGAAGCACGUGUGUGAGGGGUGCAUGCAAUGCUCCUGUAUGCACAUCUGUGGGUGUGCACGUGUGUGAGGGGUGCAUGUGUGUGAGGGGUGCAUGCAAUGCUCCUGUAUGCACAUCUGUGGGUGAGCACGUGUGUGAGGGGUGCACGUGUGUGAGGGAAGCACGUGUGUGAGGGGUGCACGUGUGUGAGGGGUGCAUGUGUGUGAGGGGUGCACGUGUGUGGGUGUGCACGUGUGUGAGGGGUGCACGUGUGUGAGUGGUGCACGUGUGUGAGGGAUGCACGUGUGUGGGUGACCACGUGUGUGUGGGGUGCACGUGUGUGAGGGGUGCACGUGUGUGAGGGGUGCACGGUGUGAGGGGUGCACGUGUGUGAGGGGUGCAUGCAAUGCUCCUGUAUGCACAUCUGUGGGUGCGCACAUGUGUGAGGGGUGCAUGUGUGUGAGGGGUGCACGUGUGUGGGUGUGCACGUGUGUGAGGGGUGCACGUGUGUGAGGGGUGCACGUGUGUGAGGGGUGCAUGCAAUGCUCCUGUAUGCACAUCUGUGGGUGUGCACGUGUGUGAGGGGUGCACGUGUGUGAGGGGAGCACGUGUGUGAGGGGUGCACGUGUGUGGGUGAGCACGUGUGGGGGGUGCACGUGUGUGAGGGGUGCACGUGUGUGUGUGUGCUGUGUGAGGGGUGCACAUGUGUGAGGGGUGCGUGUGUGAGGGGAGCACGUGUGUGAGGGGUGCAUGCAAUGCUCCUGUAUGCACAUCUGUGGGUGUGCACGUGUGUGAGGGGAGCACGUGUGUGAGGGGUGCACGUGUGUGAGGGGUGCAUGUGUGUGAGGCAUGCAUGUGUGUGAGGGGUGCAUGUGUGUGAGGGGUGCAUGCAAUGCUUCUGUAUGCACAUCUGUGGGUGAGCACGUGUGUGAGGGGUGCACGC
rnacentral:lncRNA from 1 species